rnacentral:rRNA from 1 species
CGGGACUCUUAUGAGGCCCCGUAAUUGGAAUGAGAACAAUCUAAAUCCUUUAACGAGGAUCUAUUAGAGGGCAAGUCUGGUGCCAGCAGCCGCGGUAAUUCCAGCUCUAAUAGCGUAUACUAAAGUUGUUGUGGUUAAAAAGCUCGUAGUUGGAUCUCAGUUCUAGUCAGGCGGUCCACUUGCCAGUGGUUACUGCCUGGCUGAACACUUUAUCGACUCUGUCUACGGUACUCUUAACCGAGCGUCGUAGGCGAUCGAUACGUUUACUUUGAAAAAAUUAGAGUGCUCAAAGCAGGCUUUAAAAGCCCGAAUAAUGUUGCAUGGAAUAAUGGAAUAGGACCUCGGUUCUAUUUUGUUGGUCUUCGGAAUCUGAGGUAAUGAUUAAGAGGGACAGACGGGGGCAUUCGUAUUGCGACGCUAGAGGUGAAAUUCUUGGACCGUUGCAAGACGAACUAAAGCGAAGGCAUUUGCCAAGAAUGUUUUCAUUAAUCAAGAACGAAAGUUAGCGGAUCGAAGGCGAUCAGAUACCGCCCUAGUGCUAACCAUAAACGAUGCCAACCAGUAAUAUGCCUGAGUUCCUUAAAUGACUCGGCAUGGGACUUCCGGGAAACCAAAUCUUCGGUUCCAGGGGAAGUAUGGUUGCAAAGCUGAAA